UAUUAAUAUUAUUAUUUUAUUGACUCCCUCCCUCUUUAUCUUUCUGUCUUUCUUUCUCGUUUGCAAUCUCAAAAAUUCCCGUAUACGAUAUAGUAUGUAUUUCUCGUGUGUGACCUUGCUAAUCAGACUUUGACCCACUUAGAGUGCCGACUCAUGUUUUAGUCUCUCAAGACCCAAAAAUAAUCAAGCAACUUCAUUGCAUUCGUAUCUAUUUAUCUGUUUAGCUCUCUCACAUAUCUGUAUCUGUAUCGGUAUCGGUAUCUCAUAGAUACAUAAUCAAAUGCGCCGGCGAAACAAAAAAAAACACACACAGCCCCAUAAUAAAAACGCGUUCGUUCGAAAGUUAAAAGCCCCGAAAAAAAGCAAAAAAAAAAUAAACACAAAAAUUGAGUAAGCCGAUGACGCAAAAGGACAACACAAUUUUUGUUCAACCUGAUGUCCAGCCGAAAUUGAGAGAGAGGUUUAAACAAUUAUUGCCCUGAGGGUUCAACCUUACUAAAAGAUUAAUAAAAUUAAAAUAGUUUUAAUGUCUUAGUGUUUGUAAAGUGCGUCAGAGAUGGGGAAAAACAUUGAAACAAUUCGGGGGAAACAUGUGCGAAAAAAGAAAAGAAAUAAAAGGGCAUUAAGGAAGACGUGGGGAACGGAGUGGAUUCUUCUUUGCUAUUUCCUAUGCCACUCACUUGUACCAUCUAUCAAUCAUCUUAUAUGAGCAUUUAGCAUGAAAUAAUAGAGAAAUUUUGUGCUACAGGAAUAAAUUCUAUCAUAUCUGAAGAAAUCCCAUUUGUUUUCAAUAUAGACAAUAUUCUUCACUUUCAUUUCAAAAGAAUCUAAAAAGUCGGAAUAUUUUAUAACCCUUUCCACAUACCAUUCAAUCUGAAACAAUAUUCAAUCUGUAGAUAGUUUUUAUCUUUAAAUAUAGGGACCUCUUUAC